rnacentral:rRNA from 1 species
UUUUACUGGAGGAAGGUGGGGAUGACGUCAAGUCAUCAUGGCCCUUACGAGUAGGGCUACACACGUGCUACAAUGGCAGAUACAAAGAGAAGCGACCUCGCGAGAGCAAGCGGAACUCAUAAAGUCUGUCGUAGUCCGGAUUGGAGUCUGCAACUCGACUCCAUGAAGUCGGAAUCGCUAGUAAUCGUAGAUCAGAAUGCUACGGUGAAUACGUUCCCGGGCCUUGUACACACCGCCCGUCACACCAUGGGAGUGGGUUGCAAAAGAAGUAGGUAGCUUAACCUUCGGGAGGGCGCUUACCACUUUGUGAUUCAUGACUGGGGUGAAGUCGAACC